rnacentral:rRNA from 1 species
AAACUGGGUCUAAUACCGAAUACACCCUGCUGGCUGCAUGGCCUGGUGGGGGAAAGCUUUUGCGGUGUGGGAUGGGCCCGCGGCCUAUCAGCUUGUUGGUGAGGUUACGGCUCACCAAGGCGACGACGGGUAGCCGGCCUGAGAGGGUGACCGGCCACACUGGGACUGAGAUACGGCCCAGACUCCUACGGGAGGCAGCAGUGGGGAAUAUUGCACAAUGGGCGCAAGCCUGAUGCAGCGACGCCGCGUGAGGGAUGACGGCCUUCGGGUUGUAAACCUCUUUGCACCAGGGACAAGCGCAAGUGACGGUACCUACAAAAGAAGGACCGGCCAACUACGUGCCAGCACCCGUAUUA